rnacentral:rRNA from 1 species
AAAAAAUACGACUUAUAACAAUGGAUCUCUCGGCUCUUACAUCGAUGAAGAACGUAGUGAAAUGCGAUACAUAAUAUGAAUUGCAGAUCUUGUGAAUCAUCGAGUCUUUGAACGCACUUUGCACCAAUCGAAAGAUUGGUAUGUUUGUUUGAGUACUUC